rnacentral:lncRNA from 1 species
UUAAAUGUUAAGCAGUUAGUGUUAUCCUUGAUCGGGUAAGUAUGAAUGAGGAUAUAUGGUAUAAGAUGUAAUUGUGAGUUAACUUGGGCAUUAGAGGUUGACGAGGGUGUUAGUUUGAGAUGUGAUGUUAGUAGAGCACGAAAAAGUUAGUAUGGUUUAGCGAAGGUUUGAUGUAUCCAUGGUAAGUGCUAGAAUCUAAGCUGCGGAGUGCAUAAAUUAUUGUAUAAUAACUUUUGAAGUUGUCUAAGUUGGUGGGUAUUUGAGAGUUAUGUUAAGAAUGGGUUUUGCGCUCGCGGG